UACGUAGGGGGCAAGCGUUGUCCGGAAUCAUUGGGCGUAAAGCGCGUGUAGGCGGUUCGGUAAGUCGGCUGUGAAAGUCCAGGGCUCAACCCUGGGAUGCCGGUCGAUACUGCCCGGACUAGAGUUCGGAAGAGGCGAGUGGAAUUCCCGGUGUAGCGGUGAAAUGCGCAGAUAUCGGGGAGGAACACCAAUGGCGAAGGCAGCUCGCUGGGACGUUACUGACGCUGAGACGCGAAAGCGUGGGGAGCAAACAGG
rnacentral:rRNA from 1 species